GACAUACCCCCAGUGAUUCUAAAUGACUGGUAAUUAAUGGGUUGACUUCUUUAUAAUCUGUCUGACUCUGAAACUGAAGUAGGAGUGGAAACAUUUCAAUAUUUCCACUUGAAAGGUGUCUUUUCCAAACCUUGAGUUUAUUUUUGAAUGCAAGAAGUUUGUCUGUGGAAGUUAGAAUGUUUUCUUUUGGGCCCUGCAUGAUGGUGUUCAAGGUGUUUAAAUGCUACUUUCUGCAGCCAUUUUGUAUCUUCAAGAAAGUCAGAAAAAAUGGCUUUAUUAUCUUUGAAGAAAAGCAGUAGUUCCUCUCGCAGCUCAAAUACCCUUGUUAAAACUUUCCCUCUUGAAAGCCAUCUAACAUUGGUAUGUAGAAGGAGAGUCACAUGGUCUUUUUGCAUAUUUUUCACACAGCUUUGCAAACAUGCUCAACUUAAGAGGGCGCUGCUUUAUAAAACUGAUCAUGUUCAUAGCUACAUCAAGGAUUUGUUUUAAAUCCUCCCCAAUAGUUUUUGUAACAAGAACUUCCCGUGGAGGAAGCAGUGAGUCAUUAUGACAGUGGUCCCCAACCUUUUGGGGCUGACGCAUGUGCUGCGCACCUGGAGGUGGCACCACGCAUGCGCCAUGCGCCCAGGGCCCGGGGCACAAGAAUGGCUUAGGCCUGCCCUGGUCACUGGGUGGGUGCACAUAAAUGCCCUGGCAGGUGCCAUGGCGCCCAUGGGCACCACGUUGGGGACCACUGCAUUAUGACAUCAGGGGUUUUUUCUUUGACGAGUGUAACAAAGCCUUUUAUUGAGCCAAUCAUUGCAGGGGUACCAUCAGUGCAAAUUCCAGUACACUGGCUCCAUGAAUCACAAUAUUCCAAAUAAGAAGACAAGAUGUUGAAAAUGGUCGUUUCUGGCUGCUCUUUACAACAACAAACAUUUUCCAUUAUUUCACCUUCGUUUUCAAAUUGUACAAAUGCCAACAGCUGAGCUUUACUUGUUAUGUCUGUUGACUCAUCGACUUGGAGAGCAAAGUUAGUAUUUUUUAGUAUUUCAGACAAGACAUCUUCAAUGUCAUGUGACAUGUCAUCCACAUGCCUACUAACAGUAUUAUUAGAAACAGGAACUUUGUCAAUUUCACUUUCAGCCUCUUUGCCUAUCGUUGUACUCGCUAUUAUUUUACAAGCAGGCAUUAUUAGGCUUUCUGCAAUAGUGUGACUUUCAUAUUUUGUGCAACUAGCUCAGCUACUAAAUAACUUGCUUCUUGAGCCUUUUCACUGAUAGUUACCUUCUUCUCAAAAACUUUACAUUGUUUUCCUUGUGAUUCCAAAAGUCAUUGAAAGUAAUGGGGCAAUUUUCAUCUUCAGUCCAUGUAAAACCCAUGACCAAGUAACUGUCACUGUAAAGGCUAUUUUUUUUAGUAUCAGUCACUUCUCUUCCUAUUUCACUCGUACUUGGCUCUGAUAAUUUUGAUUCAUUUUCACUGUUCUCUCCUUCACUGAUGCACCUUCUUUUCAUAUACUUUCACAUUUUUUUUAUUUUCGACGGCCGUAUGAAAAUACUGUUACAUAGGUGUGAUUUUAGAUACACAAAAACAACCACAGUUUCGGUAAAAACGUUAAUUACAAAACUGUGCAAAGUCUACAAAUCUACAAAAUAGCGAACAACUGUAACGUGCACUAGAAAAGACUAGAAACGUGGAGAAUUCUGGGAAGCAGAAGGGCAGGCACAAUAUAACCUUAGAUAUGAACUGAUCAAAAUAAAACAAAGAGGCAGUCGGUAGCAUAUGAAAUUACUCCGGUAUUGCCAAUUGCUGGACAAAAAUUCCCACAAUAUUUCGAGGGAUAUUUGGAAUUGUUCGUGGUAUUUUAAAAUUUGUAUUUAUUUAUUCCAUGAUUUCUCACGGAACCCCUGACAAUGGUCUGUGGAACCCCAGGGUUCCACGGAACCCUGGUUGGGAAACACUGGGCUAAAUGAUGACUGGCAAGUGGGUCAUUGAGGCAAGGUGGGUACAGGGAGACUGGGGAUUAUCUGAGAGGGGAGGACCCCUGAGUGCAGAGGCAUUGAUCUAGGAUGGUACCAGCAGGUGUGACACCAGCUGAAAGGGGCUGCUCCAGGGCUGACGAGCUAAUUCCUAAAGUGACCAGCAGGAGGCGCCAUGGGGUGAAUUCCACCAGGUUAGCCAUCACAGUGAACAGAACAGCAGCUAAAACAGAGGAACAGUAUUUCAGGAGGAAGGCCCCCACACAACAGCAGCUGCAGACGAGAUAAGUUAAAUGCAGGUCACUUUACAGUGUUCCAGACUUUGUAGCAAUGAUGGAUCUGGCAAACACUGCACUGCUUUAGUACACCAGAUUUAAAUGAGGCUCUACAUGUACAGUCCAUCACAGGGAAAGGACACCAUUAUUAAUGGACAUUGCCUUUGGUAUAAAUGAAGAUUAGAACUCCAUGUUCAGGACCUGCUCUUUAUGAAGCUAGUUGGAGAUAGAUUGGGACCUUACCUCCUUAGAGAUGAAGGGGCAAAUUCUCUGUUGCCCUAUACCUGAUAGAGUUCUUUACACCAAUGCAAAGUGGGUGUAAAAUGCUACCUAAUCAGAACUGUAAAUGUGUAAAUGACUCCAGAAAGUGCAGGAGAGUGGACAGACAGUCCCUCAUAUGCUGUCACUGAAAUAUUACAUUUAUUGUUUUGGGUACAAGAAAUAAACUUUCCUAUGAGUAGAUUGGUAAAGAGUGUAAUGUUCCCAUUCUUAUUCUUUCUUCCCUCUGAGCCUGACAAUAUGAUCUCUCAGCAUCACCUUAACUAGUUCCUAAAAAGCCAUUGGUCAAAGUCCCUUUGAUUUCAUUGGAGCCAUGUUUAAGCUACAGGUUCUAUAGCUACAGUGGCAGCUCUGAUCUGUAGCACUGUAAUGUAAAUCCUACCCUCGAAGGGGGUUUUCUUUCAAUGUCGGUAAUCGACCACCCAAAAGCGAUAGUUAGGUCAAUGGAAGAAUUCUUCCAUCAACUUAACCACACCUCAAUCUGGGAUUAAGUCACUUUAUCAGCAUUUAGGGGAAUGAAUUUUUCACACCCAAGGGACAUGGAUAGGUUUACCUACAUUUUAAGUGUAUCCAUGCCUGGGGGUGAAGUUAGUUAAACACCAAGAAUUGUUGCAAUUUCCCCAUAGAGUGCAAUGAUACCAGAAUUAGUCACACUUUCAUGGUAUAUUUAAACAUAUUGUUGCAAGUCAGGCAUUUUGGGACACCUGGCACUGGCUGCUAAGAGAAGAUAGUAUACUGGCCUACAUGCACUUUUGGUCUAAUCCAGUAUGGUCAUUCUUAUGUUCUUAUUCAAAAAGUCCACAUCAGCUCAGAGUUAAAAGGAUGAGUUACAAGCUGUUACAUUUCUGGAAAAGUACUAGAAUCUGU